GGUGUAGUGGUUAACACGUCGGCCUGUCAAGCCGAAGAUCGCGGGUUCGAUCCCCGUC
rnacentral:tRNA from 1 species